rnacentral:lncRNA from 10 species
GUGAUUAGAGGUCUCUUAGAGACUGGCACACUAGGCAGCCACCUGGUUGGCCUCCCCUUCAUUCAGUCAGCUCUGCCAUUCAGCUUUCUUCCAGCCUCUGCACAUUACCUGUCCUAGUUCUUGUUUUAUUGUACUGCCACUCAACUUUUCUGAAUCUCCCACUUGGCUGUGUCUCUGUACCUGCUAAAUCAACACAGUUCCUGGCAUACAGGUGCAUUUCAGUGCAUGCUGGUGAGACAGCGAAGGGCUUGAAACAGUCCACAAAAGUUGAUGCAGGAGAGCAGUACAAUCCUUUCUGGAGUGGGACUCAGAGAAAGAUCAUGCAUGUUGAAGUCAUUCCAGCAGCAGUCCAGGGGAGUUGGGGCAGGUAAGAUGGGAUAAGUGCACUCCAACCAUCAUUUCUGUUGGUCAUAACUCCAGGAGAGAAAGUUUAGAACAGCUAUUUGAGGACGGUGAAAAGAAAACAGCAGAAGGAAUAUUGGUGAAGAACACAGAAUUUGAAGUACAUCAAACCAGUAAAAUAAUGUCUCGCUAUGUUGCCCAGGCUGGACUUCAACUUCUUGGCUCAAGUGAUCCUCCCACCUCAGUCUCUCGAAUAGCUGGGACUAUAGGCAUGGGCCAUUGUGCCCAGUUCAGAGGAACCUUUUCAGAGAGGAUGGUCAGGACAGCCUCUUUGAGCAGGUAAUUUUGGGGUUGAAUGAGCUGACAGGUCCAGCCGUGCUUUUGGGAGGGAGAGUGAGCCGGGCAGAGGGAACAGUGGUGCGAAGGCUCUGACUUAGGAGUGAGUUUUGUGUUUUGAAGGAAUAGCAAAGAAUGCAGUGAGGCUGGAGUGAAGUGAGUGAAGAGGGCAGUGAUGAGAUGAAGUUAGAGAGGUGGGGGUGAUGAUGAGGCUGUCUGGGGGAGGUCUGUCCAGUGUGGGCCUUGGGGAUGGUGGGGAGUCCAGGGCAGGUGCAUUCUCAUCUGGGACCCCCUGAUCCUAGUUCUGUGGGAAGAUAUAGAUCAGAGCAGGAGACAGACACAAACAGAUCAUUUUACUAUCUGGUGAGAGAUGUUUUUGGAACCUAGAACACAGGGGAAAUUAGUGAGGCAACGAUUUUCUCUCUUUCUGCUUGACUUAUGCUUUAUUUAUCUUCAGGACUAGCCAUAAUUUGAAGAUGCUGGAAAAAAAUAUUCACAGUCUCUGGAAAUCUAGCAAAGUGAUCAGGAUUCUUUCCUUUGGCACUUCAAAGCAGAGUCAACAAAAAAAGCUGGGGGCGUUUUUUUGUGGUUAUAUGUUAAAAGUAAGAAUGAACUUAUACUGUCUUUCUUCCAUUUUUCUUUCCUUAUACCUGGGUUUGGCUGAGCCUGAGAGCAAAGAUUGCCAUUUGGGUUCAGUAGGUUGCUGACAAAUUAAGUAAAGAUUCCCUCAUUUGUGGGUCAGAUGUCUUACAGCCUGGUUUUGGUGAAGCAAAUCUUGGGAGAGUGAAUCUUGUCCACCCUCUGGCUGCUGGCCACAUGGAGAUGUUAGUAAUUGCGGGUCAGGGCAGGUCAGAUCUCCUAAGCCAAAGGUCCAGAGGUAUCAGCGAAUGCAGGGACUACCAGGCAAUUCUUCAUGUCUCAGCCUGGCAAGGAGUUAAUUCCAGAGAAAGCUGCAGGUUCCGUCACUAAUUCAUUGUGUGAUCUUGGGCAAGUUUAUUAUUUGUAAAAUGGGAGUGGAGGUAGGGUAGGGUGUGGGCUGAGCCAGAGUGAUAGCCAUUGCUCUCUUCAGCUUUUAAAUUCCAGUGGGUCAACAAAAAGGAAGCUUCUGAGCAACCUUAAUUGGCAGAGCUGAGGACACAAACAGCAGGAAUAGCUGUAGAGGGAUAUGGCCUGGGUGGAGUUCCUGCAAGCCCAAGGGAUUCCAGGACAGCUAGCAGGAAAAGAAUGGUUAGCGAGG